GGGAAUUUUCCGCAAUGGGCGAAAGCCUGACGGAGCAAUGCCGCGUGGAGGUGGAAGGCCUACGGGUCGUCAACUUCUUUUCUCGGAGAAGAAACAAUGACGGUAUCUGAGGAAUAAGCAUCGGCUAACUCUGNGCCAG
rnacentral:rRNA from 1 species